GAUGAACGCUGGCGGCGUGCCUAACACAUGCAAGUCGAACGGAAGGACGCUAAGCUUGUGUCUUUGUUGUUAGCGGCGGGCGGGUGUGUCACGCGUGGAUCAUCUCCUUAUAUGUCGGGGAUCAUCACGGAAAACCGGAGAUUAUACCAGAGCAUAUUUUGCACCGCUGGGUGCAAUGGAGAAUGUCGGCCUUUGUGUCUGUACUAGCUGGUUCCGGGCUGCAUUAGCUAGUUGGUAAGGUAACGGCUUACCAAGGCGACGAUGCCUAGCCGAGCUGAGAGGAUGAUCGGCCACACUGGAACUGAGACACGGUCCAGACUCCUACGGGAGGCAGCAGUAGGGAAUGUGCCGCAAUGGGCGAAAGCCUGACGGAGCAACGCCGCGUGAGUGAUGAAGGUCUUCGGAGCGUAAAGCCCUGUUAUUGGGGAAGAACAGAUGUGGAAUUAACCGAGGACAUCGUGACGGUACCUAAUCAGAAAGCCCCGGCUAACUACGUG
rnacentral:rRNA from 1 species